GUUGGUGAACCAGCGGAGGGAUCAUUACCGAGUUAUACAACUCCCAAACCCCUGUGAACUUACCUAUAACGUUGCUUCGGCGGGAAACCGACGGCCCCGUAAGACGGGCCGCCCCCGCCAGAGGACCCCCUAACUCUUGUUAUAUCCUGCUUCUCUGAGUACAACAAGCAAAUAAAUUAAAACUUUCAACAACGGAUCUCUUGGCUCUGGCAUCGAUGAAGAACGCAGCGAAACGCGAUAAGUAAUGUGAAUUGCAGAAUUUAGUGAAUCAUCGAAUCUUUGAACGCACAUUGCGCCCGCCAGUAUUCUGGCGGGCAUGCCUGUCCGAGCGUCAUUACAACCCUCAGGCCCCCGGGCCUGGUGUUGGGGAUCGGCGGAGCCCUCCGGGGCACACGCCGUCCCCCAAAUUCAGUGGCGGUCUCGCUGCAGCCUCCAUUGCGUAGUAGCUAACACCUCGCAACUGGAAGGCGGCGCGGCCACGCCGUAAAACCCCCCAACUUCUGAAUGUUGACCUCGGAUCAGGUAGGAAUACCCGCUGAAC
rnacentral:rRNA from 2 species